AUACGUAGGGUGCAAGCGUUAAUCGGAAUUACUGGGCGUAAAGCGUGCGCAGGCGGUUUUGUAAGACAGAGGUGAAAUCCACGGGCUCAACCUGGGAACUGCCUUUGUGACUGCAAGGCUAGAGUACGGCAGAGGGGGAUGGAAUUCCGCGUGUAGCAGAGAAAUGCGUAGAUAUGCGGAGGAACACCGAUGGCGAAGGCAAUCCCCUGGGCCUAUCCUGACGCUCACGCGCGAAAGCGUGGGGAGCAAACAGGAUUAGAUACCCUGGUAGUCCACGCCCUAAACGCGGUCAACUGGUUGUUGGGUCAUCAUUGACUCAGUAACGAAGCUAACGAGUGAAGUUGACCGCCUGAGGAGUACGGCCGCAAGGUUGAAACUCAAAUGAAUUGGCGGGG
rnacentral:rRNA from 1 species